CCUACGGGGGGCAGCAGUGAGGAAUAUUGGUCAAUGGACGGAAGCCUGAACCAGCCAAGUCGCGUGCGGGAUGACGGCCCUAUGGGUUGUAAACUGCUUUUGCACAGGGAUAAAACUCUCCACGUGUGUUCAGCUGAAGGUACUGUACGAAUAAGGAUCGGCUAACUCCGUGCCAGCAGCCGCGGUAAUACGGAGGACCCAAGCGUUAUCCGGAUUUAUUGGGUUUAAAGGGUGCGUAGGCGGGUGUUCAAGUCAGGUGUAAAAUGUCGAGGCUAAACCGCGAACCGCAGUUGAAACUGGUGGUCUUGAGUGUACAUGAGGUAGGCGGAAUGUGUGGUGUAGCGGUGAAAUGCUUAGAUAUCAUACGGAACACCGAUUGCGAAGGCAGCCUACC
rnacentral:rRNA from 1 species